UACGGGGGGGGCAAGCGUUGUUCGGAAUUACUGGGCGUAAAGGGCUCGUAGGCGGCCAACUAAGUCAGACGUGAAAUCCCUCGGCUUAACCGGGGAACUGCAUCUGAUACUGGAUGGCUUGAGAUUGGGAGAGGGAUGCGGAAUUCCAGGUGUAGCGGUGAAAUGCGUAGAUAUCUGGAGGAAUACCGGUGGCGAAGGCGGCAUCCUGGACCGGCAUUGACGCUGAUGAGCGAAAGCUAGGGGAGCAACGG
rnacentral:rRNA from 1 species